UACGGAGGGUGCAAGCGUUAUCCGGAUUCACUGGGUUUAAAGGGAGCGUAGGUGGGUUGGUAAGUCAGUGGUGAAAUCUCCGAGCUUAACUUGGAAACUGCCAUUGAUACUAUCGAUCUUGAAUACUGUGGAGGUAAGCGGAAUAUAUCAUGUAGCGGUGAAAUGCUUAGAUAUGAUAUAGAACACCAAUAGCGAAGGCAGCUUACUACGCAGUUAUUGACACUGAGGCUCGAAAGCGUGGGGAUCAAACAGGAUUAGAUACCCUGGUAGUCCACGCCCUAAACUAUGGAUACUCGACAUCAGCGAUACACUGUCGGUGUCUGAGCGAAAGCAUUAAGUAUCCCACCUGGGAAGUACGUCCGCAAGGAUGAA
rnacentral:rRNA from 1 species